CCUACGGGUGACUGCAGUGAGGAAUAUUGGUCAAUGGACGAGAGUCUGAACCAGCCAAGUAGCGUGAAGGAUGACUGCCCUAUGGGUUGUAAACUUCUUUUAUAUGGGAAUAAAAUGUUCCACGUGUGGGAUUUUGUAUGUACCAUAUGAAUACGGAUCGGCUAACUCCGUGCCAGCAGCCGCGGUAAUACGGAGGAUCCGAGCGUUAUCCGGAUUUAUUGGGUUUAAAGGGUGCGUAGGUGGAUUGUUAAGUCAGUUGUGAAAGUUUGCGGCUCAACCGUAAAAUGGCAGUUGAAACUGGCAGGCUUGAGUACAGUAGAGGUGAGCGGAAUUCGUGGUGUAGCGGUGAAAUGCUUAGAUAUCACGAAGAACUCCGAUUGCGAAGGCAGCUCACUGGACUGCAACUGACACUGAGGCUCGAAAGUGUGGGUAUCAAACAGGAUUAGAUACCCGAGUAGUC
rnacentral:rRNA from 1 species